rnacentral:snoRNA from 1 species
CUGCAGCUAGUUAAGCUGAUUCACCUAGCCUUCUUCCCUGAUGAGGUCUCACUUUGCAGCAGCUGUAAAAAGCCAACUCCCCAGCUGUGUAUGCAGUUCAUUUCUUGUUUUGUUGCUCUAAGGGACCUUGAAGACAUCA